GUCUGUGGCCAUACCGCUCUGAAUGUGCUCAAUCUCAUCUGAUCUCAGAAGCUAAGCAGGGUCUGGCUUGGUUAGUACUUGGAUGGGAGAAUUAUGCUGAUUUUGAUA
rnacentral:rRNA from 1 species